ACCAAGGCCGGAGAGGAGAACCCGCAGCUCCCCCAGCUGCUCCCCCAGUGCUGCUCGGGGGAGGUUGUGUCGGUUCAGCCCCAGCCUCUCACAAACCCAUUUCUCCCCACAAAACCCAGCCCUGCCAAGCUCAGCAGCUCAGCCCGGCUUUCAACACGCCCAUCACCACCCAGGACACGUUUAAACCAGUUACGGGAAUGUCGUGUCCUUCUCCGAGAGGGACAAGCGCUUGAGAAGCACACAGAACCUCCAGCUCCCGCUGACUCCCAAUUACUCCGCUCAGAAAUUGCCCUGUGAUUUUUUUUUUAAUUACUUUUUUGAUUCGUUAAUGUCCCAUUAAAAGAUCCCGCUAAGCGGAGCUGGCAUGGAGCUGGGCAGACGCAAGGCUGGAAGGAACCGCCACUCUCCCUCCCGUUAUGGCCUUGCCACCAACACCAUUUUCUGAGAGCGGAAAGCAAAGGCUCAGGCUGGCUCACCCCAGGGAAAAGAAUAAAACACAUGGAACAACCCAAAGCUGAUGGAGCAGCCGAUACGAGGGAAUUUGUUUGCAUGUGUUUCAUGCAGCCCCAAGACACGGGUCAAAACAAGCUCCUUGUUACCAUGAGGCACCUGGUAGAGGUGGCCUCAGCACAUGGUCCCCAAGGCCAGGGACAUGGGGACUUGCUGAGACACUCUUGCCAUGGUGUGACACCAAAACCAGGUACCCACAGGUCACAGCUCCCAUCGCAGGUGUCCCCAAAUGCAGCAGCAUCGCGGGCGCUGGGGGGUCAGCUCCCUACUGCCCCACAUCAAGUGUUGGCCAACACCAAGACCCAAGGGCAGAACCACGAACCGCCGACACCAAACCCCUCCGGCUGCUCCCAAUUUCCAAGACUACGUGACAACAAGGAAAAUAGAACAUUUUCUGAACACAGCCUGAAUAGGAACAAGUCCGCCCAAAUUCACCGUGAACACAGAUAAAAGCCCAUCGGGUCGAGUGUUUCCAAUGCUGGAAAAUAACCCGCGGGCUCGGGGCUGUUUCAGGCACGCUGAGCGCAGGCUGAGGCUGGGAGAGCAGCUAUUAAGGAAAGUGGAAGUGGGUUUCAAUUUUCAAAAGCCGAUGACAACAGCUUUUAGAUCAAAAGAAGCCUUUUCACAGAAGGAUUCUGCUCGGGCAAAAUUAUUAAUCCAUCGGGCUGAAAAACGCUGCAGUAAAAAUCAUCUUGUUUGGGACAAGUUCUCAACUUGGAAUUUGCUGGGAGGACGUGGGGGUUUGAACAUCCAUUUCUCCUUUAAUUAAAAAAGCCUCUGAGAAACUUGAAGUUUUGCUGCAGAUGGGAUUUCAUUAUUAUUAUGAUGAUGUUUUUGGAGCUGAAGGAUGGGCAAGGACGGACCGAUGGAAAGUGCCUCAAGGCAGAAGACACGGAGCCAACAUGGGCAAGAGGAUCUGCUGGUUUGAAUCCUUUAAUUUCUGGAGGUUGGGGGACAAAUUCCUGGUUCCACUAUCCCAGGAGAGCAACCCCAAACCCCUCACCCCCUCAGCAUCACCUCGCUCCCUUUCCCCACAGCAAAACCCCACAAUCUCCCUCCAACCUCCCCCACCAGCUUUGCAAACCCACCACCCAAAAACCACAUCGAACCCACCAAAAAACCCCACCAAAGGGCUACGGAAUGGGCCGAGCAACCCAGCUCACACUUCUACAUGGUUUUCAAACCUAACGCCCCUAUUUCUGCAUCCCAGGUGAGAAAGGACGGAGAUUUAUGACCAUCGCUCUCCUCCUGGCCGGCGCUUGGCCGUCCCUUGCGCCAGCUCCCUACCUGCUGCUCGCUUUUUGAUUUUUUGUCCUUUUUUGCACAGAAAACGAGUUGCCCUGGAGCUGCGUCUCCAUGGAAACGCGGGUUUUUCAGACACUCAAUGAAAAACGCUGGCACGGAGAGGCUGGUGCAGGAAUACUGAUUCAGCCCCAGCGUCUGUAACACUGACUGCAUUUUAAUCCCGCUCCGCUACCCGGCGAGCUAAAAAUACCCCGCGCCCCGUCGCCUCCUGAACUCGCGUAAACAGCUUAAAGCAACACGGCGGUGCAGGAGCAGAAAUCCCAUGAAUCAGCUAAAAAAUAUAUAUAACAAAUAAAAAGGGAUGGGGAAGGUAAUGGUGGGGUCUAUGUCCCUGUCAUAGCUUGGGGAGCGCCAGCGUGGUGGCGAAGGGACAACCAGGAUUUUGCAGCACCUCGGGGUUUUGUUUUACCUCUCCGAGAUGCCCUUUUCCAGGUGAAGAAGCAAGCAAACAAGGUUUUCCAGG